ensembl:lncRNA
GUGUGGUGCUUGGUUUCAGUGUCGGUAUGGAGGCAUUUGAUGAGCUCCUGUCAAUGAAUGUUCCUUGGAGUCAGGAGUUCCCUGGAGUCAGGGUUUGGACUUAAGUCUCCUGCUUCUGAUUAUUGGUCUUAUUUUUACAGUAGUUUCAAAACUUCUCCUUCUAUACAGCACCAUUGAUAAAACAUCUACAUUAAAGAUGAUAAGUUUCUCUACAGUGAGGGUCACUCAGAGAGGUUCACAGGGUUACAUGGAGAAGAGAAGAGGGAGGAGGGAGUUAGAGGUGACCCAAAUGAGAUGAGGUGAAUCAAUAGUGGAGAGAGUGGGCUAGCCAGUAGUCACUUCCUUAUGUGCACUCCACAACUCGACCACUCAGAGAUGUUCACGGGGUUAUACAGAGAAGAGAAGAAGGAGGAAGGUAACAGAGGUGGCCAGAAGGAUAAAAGGGGGGAAUGAAAAGGAGGGAGACAGAUCCAGCCAGUAAUCAGUUCCCUAAGUGUUCUCCACCGUCUGGAACACACAGAAAUUCACAGAGUUGGGUAGAGUAGAGAGGGGUUAGGGAGGAGACACAGGCGACCUGGUGGAGAAAAAGGAGGGUCCAAAGGGAGAGAGAGCAGUCAAGCCAGUAAUCUCACUCCCUAGUGAAAAAUGGGUCCUGAAGAUUGGGUCCUUAUAGGUACAAAAUUGGUAACAAAUACAUAAAAGCAAAAAUUAAAAAUCUAGAGUAGAGUUUGGAAUUUCAAAAAUACGAUGUUAAAGAAAAGAAGAAGGAAAAGAAAGAGAGAAAGAACGAACAAACAAAAACAAACAAGGUCGCGAAAAUUAUAAAGAAAGUACAAGUAUAAAAUUGAUAACUAAUACCAGAAAGCAAAAAUUAAAAAUCUAGAGUAGAUUUUGGAAUUUCAAAAAUACAAUGUUAAAAAAAAAAGAAGAAGAAAAAUAAAGAGAGAAAACAAACAAAUACGAACAAUGUCACAAAAAUUAUAAAGAAAAUACAGGUACAAAAUCGAUAUCAAAUACCAAAAAGCAU